AGCGAAAGCUAGUUGUAUUAACUAUUAGUUAAUGCAAGAUCGAUUAUGUCGACUAAAGUUCUAGGUAGAAUAAUGAUGAUGACAAUUUUCUACCUAUAUGUCUUGACCAAGUCUCGUGCCAGCAGUCGCGGUAAUACGUGGAAGACUAGUGUUAUUCAUCUUUAAUAGGUUUAAAGGGUACCUAGACGGUAUUUCUAGCCCAAAAUAGGGUACGGAUUUACUAGAGUUUUAUGUGAGGAGGGGAGUACUCGUGGAGUAGAGAUGAAAUUUUGUGAUACUACGAGGAAACUGGUGGCGGCGAAAGCAACCUUCUAUGUAUAAACUGACGUUGAGGGACGAAGGCUUGGGUAGCAAAUAGGAUUAGAUACCCUAGUAGUCCAAGCAGACAAUUCUGAAUGCCAUAGAUUAGAUUAUUUUUGGUCUAUAAAUGAAAGUGUAAGCAUUCCACCUUAAGAGUAAUGUGGCAACACAGGAACUGAAAUCAUUAGACCGUUUCUGAAACCAGUAGUGAAGUAUGUUAUUUAAUUUGUUGGUCCUCAAAAAACCUUACCACAACUUGAAUAUUAUUCAAUUAAUACAAGCGUUGCACGGCUGUCUUCAGUUAAUGUCGUG
rnacentral:rRNA from 1 species